GUAUCAGCCGUACAUUACGGUUUAGGAAAAUAACAGACUCCAAGCAAUCGCCCAUAGGAAAAGGGAGAGGAAAAUAAGAAUUACUUCUGAAACCGUCAAAAAAACAAUUACUUCAGCAGUCCAGUCCAGCAGGCACUGAACAGGGUACGUUUACGAAAGAUGGCUUCUGGUCAAAACUGUGCGAGAAGCUGGAGGUUCCAAACACUGUGGCUAACCAAAAAAGGUUGAAGAAUGCACACCUACAGUUAUUAAAGAAUGGAGAAUCUGGACUCAGAGAGGAACAAGUUGCAGGGGCCAGUUCUAGUGACCAUGUUCUGAAAAAGUAAAAAUAGAGGAGCCUGUGCAAGAAGUGUUGGUGUCAGAUAUCAAUUUCCGAGAGAUUUGCCCAGAGGUAGUGAGUCACAUAUUCAUAAAUUUCUCAUAAUGUCACAAAUCGUACAGCUUGCUUUGCUGGACGGAUUGAUAUAUCAUUUGUAUCUGUUGUCCAAAAAAAAACUUUAUUAUUAUGGGCCUAUUCAUGUCAAUGAAAGGCCCAUAUUACUCUUCA